AUUGUGCCUCUCUCUUUUAGAUCUGCCAGCCCCAGCAGUUCAGCUGCAGUCUCAGCAGUCCUCUGCUGUGGUCUUUCAUUUACCGGCUGCACCAGUUCCUACUACACUGGCCGUGAAGGGAGAAACUGUUGAGGAGACCCAGAUGGAUACAGAUCUGCCUGACAGCCUCACCCAGAAGACACUGGGCCUAUCAAGACUGACAAAGCAGAGAUGGGUGGCUGACAAGGAAAAAUAAAACACAACACACAUUAUCCACAAUGUAAAUACAUUGUAAUUACUUGUUUAUUUAAUGUUUGCUGCAUUUUAUUUGAGGAUUGGAGAGAUCUACUCCUUCAUAUCCAUUCUCAAUAUCUACAUAAUUACUCUCCAUAUCUAUCAAAUCAAAGGGUGAUUGAUAAUAUUGUAAAAGACUAUGGCUUAAUGUUUACAGUCUGAUGAAAUUCUGUGCUUUUUUCUGAGUUGAAAACAUGUUGGUUCCACUUUUCUGGGCUCCGUUAUUUACAAAUAAGGAAAAC
rnacentral:lncRNA from 1 species